GACGGCGAGAACAGAGGAAGCCAGCGGCCAAUGGGCAGCGCCGCUGGGGGCGGGAGCAGGGAGAUAAGGAAAUUCUGUCACCGCGGUUAACACGCACGUGGAGGUUUGUUAAAGCAGGUGCCCUUCUCCUCUCCUCAGACUCAGCCAUCCACGGCUGUGAGGACAGCUGGUCCUGCCUUCCCUGGACUGUCCCCUCCAGCCAACAUAAAGCCUGAGAUAACACGAAGAUGCUGAGAUUAUACCAGGAGCAGCUUCCGUAACUGCACCGUGAACCUAUGGAGCCCUCUCUGUGGGGCACUGCUGACUCUCCCGAGGUCAGAACCCCUGCAUGGUGGGUGGGGAAGCCCCCUCCCCCAGCUACUCCUCCAGCCCUGACCCAGGUUUCCUGCUCUGCUGCUGUGGCCAGACGCCACGCCAGCCUGGAAGAGAAGCUUGGCUCAGUCAGGAUCCCUGACGAGGAGGACACAUCUACUCCAUGCCCAAGUCCUGGGUGCUUUAUGCUCAGCCUUCACCACAAAGGCCCAACGGCCCAGUCAUUACUACCCUGGACUCCAACUGUUUGGAGACCUGGCGGGGCUCUGAGUGAGCCUUCAGUUAGGAAGCCACAGCAGAAUCUACCGAAGCAAGCUGCAGACUGCUGGCGCUCGACGUUGCACCAUUUCAAUUUGGUUUCAUUUUCCUCCCCAGCUGGCUCUUGAAAUACUCCUCUAGAUUGCAAGCCGAUGUUUGUAUCUCUCCUAGGAUCACUCAGAGUUUUGUGGCCCCUGGGCAACCAAAACAGAGAGGAUCUCGCUCCCCGCCAUUGCAGAAUUAUACCGAGAUUAACCAUAAAAGGGAGAAGAGAAGCAUUUCCCGUUGGUGUCUGGAAAUGAGAAGUGGUUAAGAAAUGGCGCAGAUAGUAACUACAAGACUCUGAUCAAAGUACUUUAGAAGCGCAUUAAUUUGGAACCUUAUAUUUAAAAUGUGUAAUCUGGA